rnacentral:tRNA from 1 species
UAGAAAAACAGGACUUGAACCUG